AACGAACGCUGGCGGCAGGCCUAACACAUGCAAGUCGAACGGGAUCUUCGGAUCUAGUGGCGGACGGGUGAGUAACGCGUGGGAACGUGCCCUUUGGUUCGGAAUAGCCCUGGGAAACUGGGAGUAAUACCGGAUGAGCCCUUCGGGGGAAAGAUUUAUCGCCAAAGGAUCGGCCCGCGUUGGAUUAGGUAGUUGGUAGGGUAAAAGCCUACCAAGGCGACGAUCAGUAGCUGGUCUUAGAGGAUGUCCAGCCACACUGGAACUGAAACACGGUCCAGACUCCUACGGGAGGCAGCAGCUAGGAAUAUUGCGCAAUGGGGGAAACCCUGACGCAGCAAUCCCGCGUGAGUGAUGAAGGCCUUCGGGUUGUAAAGCUCUUUUAGUAAGAAAGAAAAAAAUGACGGUACUUACAGAAAAAGCACCGGCAAACUUCGUGCCAGCCGCCGCAGUAACAC
rnacentral:rRNA from 1 species